UGGGCGCCAAAUACCGUAGCAGAAGCUGUUGCUGUUAAGAGUACGACGGGUUUCGGAAACAAUGUAGAUAUAUGGACAGGUCUUUAUAGUCCUACAAGUGACGAGAACUUUGAAUUUGUCGAUGCUGGUGGUGUUUUUACAUUGGAUACUCUCCCAUUUGGGGAACGUGAUGCAAUAGAUAACGACGACUGUGUGGAAUUUGAAUUAACAAAUUCUAAUAACUGGAACUGGG